rnacentral:rRNA from 1 species
CAGUCGCCACGGUAAUACAGAGGGUGCAAGCGUUAAUCGGAAUUACUGGGCGUAAAGCGCGCGUAGGUGGUUUGUUAAGUUGGAUGUGAAAGCCCCGGGCUCAACCUGGGAACUGCAUCCAAAACUGGCAAGCUAGAGUACGGUAGAGGGUGGUGGAAUUUCCUGUGUAGCGGUGAAAUGCGUAGAUAUAGGAAGGAACACCAGUGGCGAAGGCGACCACCUGGACUGAUACUGACACUGAGGUGCGAAAGCGUGGGGAGCAAACAGGAUUAGAUACCCGAGUAGUCCCUGUCUCUUAUAA